GAUUAGCCUGCGUCCGAUUAGCUAGUUGGUGGGGUAAGGGCCUACCAAGGCGACGAUCGGUAGCUGGUCUGAGAGGAUGGCCAGCCACACUGGAACUGAGACACGGUCCAGACUCCUACGGGAGGCAGCAGUGGGGAAUAUUGGACAAUGGGGGGAACCCUGAUCCAGCAAUGCCGCGUGUGUGAAGAAGGCCUGAGGGUUGUAAAGCACUUUCAGUGGGGAGGAGGGUUGAUUGGUUAAGAGCUGAUUAACUGGACGUUACCCACAGAAGAAGCACCGGCUAACUCCGUGCCAGCAGCCGCGGUAAUACGGAGGGUGCAGGCGUUAAUCGGAAUUACUGGGCGUAAAGCGUGCGUAGGUGGUUGAUUAAGUUAUCUGUGAAAUCCCUGGGCUUAACCUGGGCAGGUCAGAUGAUACUGGUUGACUCGAGUAUGGGAGAGGGUAGUGGAAUUUCCGGUGUAGCGGUGAAAUGCGUAGAGAUCGGAAGGAACACCAGUGGCGGAGGCGGCUACCUGGCCUAAUACUGACACUGAGGCACGAAAGCGUGGGGAGCAAACAGGAUUAGAUACCCUGGUAGUCCACGCUGUAAACGAUGUCAACUAGCUGUUGG
rnacentral:rRNA from 1 species